rnacentral:lncRNA from 1 species
GUACAUAUUUAUUUUCUUAUUUUUAAAUAAAAAAGAAAAAAAAAUUAUUCUAGGAGGAUUCAUCAACUUUUGAUGAAACUUGAAAGAUCAAACCAGCGUCACAGAAAUUAAAAAGAAUACCAAACAAAAGCAGCCCUUCAAACCCCUUAACCGUACCUAACUCCAUCUCAUCGCCUCCUUAUGUGGAGUUUGACGUCUACCACAUAUUAACAUGUACUUGUCCAAUGGCACUUAGCUAAUUUUAGGUUGAGAUCUUAGAGUCUUCUUUUCCAUUUAAGAUGGAAGUUUGUUUUGAAUAUAAAGAUUCUAGUCCUAGAAGUAAGUCAUAUCAAGACUUUAAAGAAAGAAAAAUACAAAAGCCCAAUAAGAAGCCAACUAUUGAACAAUAUAAAGCCCACAACAUAAACCUUUGAUUUAUUAUGUGCAUGUAGUCAUUGGUCUAUAGCCACUUGACACAACUGUCACAUCCCUGAUUUUGAACUCCUGCAGGUUGGAGGGAUGCCAUGGUUAGAGUUGCUGAGAUUGGGUGGGAAUCAAGAAGUCCAAUCCAAUUGUAGGUGGGGUGAGGCUUUUUGAAGUUGGCAGACGAGCUAGCUGGUUGAGCAGGAGACUUGUAUAAGAGCUGUAGGCAGAAUGACCUGUCAAACUUAGGCGGGACGAGUUGAGGAGUAGGCGAAAGCUAUUGGCGAGAUUAGUGGUUGGAGGGACGAGCUGCCGAGAGGACGAGCAUCAUAUUGGAUGCGAGGCUGAGGCAAGAGAACGCCCAUAAGCUAGAAGAGGCCUGGGAGUGUCANNN